rnacentral:misc_RNA from 1 species
GAAAGGGCUGAAAAUUUUUCAUUGAAAGAAAUAGACAAUUCUCACUAUUAAUUUGUGCUAAGUAUUUGAGUAUUUAGAUUUAGAAGAAGAUUUGAGUAUUUAAAAUAUUGUUUAUUUUGUUAAAAAUAAAAUAACCGAUAACACGAAAGUUAAGAAUUUAAUAUUGAAUCAAACAAACGCGUCGAAAGUAGUCAGGCAAGCAGCAACACAGAGUCGCAGUCGAGUUAUAGCAACGAAAGUAACGACGGGAGCGGCAAGAGCAACGGCAACAGUGACGAAAAUAAAGAAAAGUGGACAUCAAGGAAAUUAAAAAAUUUCUAAAAAUAUUUGCAAUUAUUUAAAUCGGUGUACAAUUCAAAGUUAAAAAUGGUCCUUAAGGUUUAUGUAAGCGGAAUGUCCGGCAAUAAAGAGGUCAAAAAACGCCAGCAACGCGUUUUGAUGAUUUUGGACAGCAAGAAUAUCAAGUACGACAUUGUGGACAUAACGGAACCAGGGAAAGAAAGCGAAAAAGAGUUGAUGCAAACAAAAUCGACCAGCAAUGGUGCCACAGUAAGUGACCCAGAGCCAAGACAUCCACUGCCACCACAAAUAUUCAACCAGGAAGAAUAUUGUGGGGAUUAUGAUGCCUUUGAUUUGGCCAAUGAAAUAGAUACAUUAGAGCAGUUCUUGAAGCUGGCACCGGCCGAUACCACAGCUGUUUCUAGUGCUCAGCUGGAGUUGAAGCAGGAAAAUGGAGAAGUAAAAGCAUCAGAUGAUGAGAACAAAGAAAAUGUCGAAGAGAAACCUGAAAGAGAAGAGGUCGGUAAAACGGCUGACGACAGUCAAGCCGCUGCCGAUGCUGGGGAGAGUGCAAACGGUGAUGGCGAGACCAAGAAUGCUGAGAAUGAAACGCAGGAGGAACAAAAUGAAGAAAAGAAAGACGAAACUGAAACGGCCGAAGCCGAUACAGAAGAGGGCAAAUCCAUAGCAGAGACUGUUAAAGAAGAAGUGGCUGAGGAGCAGUCAAAGAGUGACGAUACAAAACCAAAUAAUGCAGAAGGCGAUCCGACCGAGACGCAAAAAGCGGAAACUAAACCCGACGACGAACAAAAGAGCGUAAAAGUAGGAGACAGCGAAAAUGCCGAAGACACAGCAGAAACGGAAGUAGCGAAAGAUAAAUCCAAUGAGGAAACGGAAGAUAAAACGGAGAGUAAACCGGAACCCGAAGACAAUGCAAAGGAGGAAACGGCGAAAAAAGAAAGUGUCAUAGAAGCAGAAACAUCGGCGGUGGAAACAGAUUCUUUGAAAGAAUAUACAGAGGAAGACAUUCAAAAAGAUGAAACCGCAAAAUUAGAAACGGAGAACCAAGAUACCAGUAAUGACAAAGACGAAGAAGCUGAAAAAGAAGCAGAAAAUUCUGAAGCAAAUGAGAAGGAUGUUGUUGAUGAAAGUAAAAAAGAAAUCGGUGAAACGGACGAAACCGGCAACGAUGAUGCACAGAUUGUUGGUGAUGAAAAUGAAGUAGCUGAAAAAGAGAGUGAAAAAACAACAGCAGAUGUAAGGGAAAAUGUAGAAUCCUAUAACGAUGAUAAUGAGAAUGCAAGUGAAGAAAACGUGACGAGCGAAGAAGAAGAUGAUGAUGAAGAAGAAUCAAGCUCAUCGGAAAAAGUUAUGGAUAAGGCAGAAGAUACCGCAGAAAAUAAAGAUGACAUUAAGGAAGAGAUUGUUAGCAACGAUCACGAUGAUAUUGAAUAGUAAUAAUACCAUUAAAAUGAAGAGAAACCUCUUCCGCGAUCGACUGCUUAGCUUUUGGAUAUGUUACAUAUCAUUAAUUAACUUUUAUUUAUUAAAUACAUCGUCCUUAGUUUCUCACUUUAAAAUGGUUUUGGAGUUACCCCCUAGCACUUCAUGAGUCAUUAUUUGUAAAUUUGAUCAUGCAUCACCGAAAAGCACUGAACGUAGUAAACACAAGCCAACACACUCCUUCAUAAAAUUAUGGACAAUGAAAGGCUCACACAAUCUACACCGCAUAGGAAUGUCACCCAUGCCAAAGUGGAAG